rfam:Camelus ferus unplaced genomic scaffold scaffold112, whole genome shotgun sequence.
GAGGGUAUAGCUCAAGUGGUAGAGAGCAUGCUUUGCAUGCAUGAGGUCCUGGGUUCAAUCCCCAGUACCUCCU